GGGGAAUAUUGCACAAUGGGGGACACCCUGAUGCAGCGACGCCGCGUGAAGGAAGAAGUAUCUCGGUAUGUAAACUUCUAUCAGCAGGGAAGAAAAUGACGGUACCUGACUAAGAAGCCCCGGCUAACUACGUGCCAGCAGCCGCGGUAAUACGUAGGGGGCAAGCGUUAUCCGGAUUUACUGGGUGUAAAGGGAGCGUAGACGGAUGGACAAGUCUGAUGUGAAAGGCUGGGGCUCAACCCCGGGACUGCAUUGGAAACUGCCCGUCUUGAGUGCCGGAGAGGUAAGCGGAAUUCCUAGUGUAGCGGUGAAAUGCGUAGAUAUUAGGAGGAACACCAGUGGCGAAGGCGGCUUACUGGACGGUAACUGACGUUGAGGCUCGAAAGCGUGGGGAGCAAACAGGAUUAGAUACCCUGGUAGUCCACGCGGUAAACGAUGAAUGUUAGGUGUCGGGGAGC
rnacentral:rRNA from 1 species